AAAAAGGUCUACUGCCCUUACCGGCACCUGUAGGGUAACUCCCUUGCUCUACAUACAGAAUCAAUAUCAAGAGAUUUUGGAAGCAUAAUUUUUUGGGAGUAGGGCAGCUGAUGAUUGUUGGUCCUGGUGCCUCC
ensembl:snRNA